rnacentral:rRNA from 1 species
CACAUCGACGGGGAGGUUUGGCACCUCGAUGUCGGCUCAUCGCAUCCUGGGGCUGUAGUCGGUCCCAAGGGUUGGGCUGUUCGCCCAUUAAAGCGGUACGCGAGCUGGGUUCAGAACGUCGUGAGACAGUUCGGUCCCUAUCCGUCGUGGGCGUAGGAAAUUUGAGAGGAGCUGUCCUUAGUACGAGAGGACCGGGAUGGACAUACCUCUGGUGUACCAGUUGUCGUGCCAACGGCAUAGCUGGGUAGCUAUGUGUGGACGGGAUAAGUGCUGAAAGCAUCUAAGCAUGAAGCCCCCCUCAAGAUGAGAUUUCCCAACUUCGGUUAUAAGAUCCCUCAAAGAUGAUGAGGUUAAUAGGUUCGAGGUGGAAGCAUGGUGACAUGUGGAGCUGACGAAUACUAAUCGAUCGAAGACUUAAUCAAAUU